rnacentral:rRNA from 1 species
UGGGUAGUCCGCACGAGCGCACCCUACUUUUAGUUGCUACCAUUUAGUUGGGCACUCUAAAAGAACUGCCAGUGAUAAGCUGGAGGAAGGUGGGGAUGACGUCAAGUCCUCAUGGCCCUUAUGUGUUGGGCUACACACGUGCUACAAUGGUAUUUACAGUGGGAUGCAAAGAGGCAACUCCAAGCCAACCCCUAAAAGAAUACCUCAGUUCGGAUUGUACUCUGCAACUCGAGUACAUGAAGCUGGAAUUACUAGUAAUCGCGGAUCAGCGCGCCGCGGUGAAUACGUUCCCGGGUCUUGUACACACCGCCCGUCACACCAUGGAAGUUGGUUACACCUUAAGGCAAAGUGUGAACCUUUGACUACGGUACGAUCAGCGACUGGGGUGAAGUCGUAACAAGGUAGCCGUAGGGGAACCUGCGGCUGGAUCACCUCCUUUCU